rnacentral:rRNA from 1 species
UACGUAGGGGGCUAGCGUUGUCCGGAAUCAUUGGGCGUAAAGAGCGUGUAGGCGGUCCGGUAAGUCCGCUGUGAAAGUCGGGGGCUCAACCCUCGAAUGCCGGUGGAUACUGUCGGGCUAGAGUCCGGGAGGGGCGAGUGGAAUUCCUGGUGUAGCGGUGAAAUGCGCAGAUAUCAGGAGGAACACCAAUGGCGAAGGCAGCUCGCUGGAACGGAACUGACGCUGAGGCGCGAAAGCGUGGGGAGCGAACAGG